CGUCACUUUAAAACAGGUUCCCGUAUAAUCACAGAAGUUAAGCAACGUGAAGCUUUGUCAGUACCUAGAUGGGUAACCACUUGUGAAAACCAGGUGUUGUAU